CUCGACCUCAUCGAAGUGACCAUUGAUAGGAUGGUAGUGUUGGUGAGAUCGCAUCGAAGUUUUUUGCUAUCUUUCGACUACAUAUUUUCAUUGAAGUAGAGCGAAGACGCGGCUAAUGAAGGCUUUGAUUGAUCUUCUCGUUUGCGGUAGCGACAAUUCAAUCAAAACAUAAACAAAUCCUAACCCUUGCCCAAGUAAUCUCACUUUGCAUUAGACGCAGGCACGCGUCUACACAGAGCGUGGUGCAGCGUUUGCUAAAUGUGCUAGACACACAUUCACUACUGGGCGCAAGAAGUCACGCGCGAUAACGGUCGUUCUGAUUGUAUGUUAUUUCUUAACGUACGUUUAUGUUCUUGCUUUCGUAACCCCGCGAUGCUGCCACUGAAGCUGGUCGCGGGUCUCGUGAGUCAGCAGAGCUUGAAUAAUGUGAAAUCGACCGCACAGCGAUGUAAACACGGACUCGGAACAAUGAGAAAAUAGACAAACAAAACUGUUAACCUCCUCGACCAGCUGUUAGCUUGAAGGAGGCAGAAUUUUGCCAUGUGAUGAUGAGCCGAUAAUUCUAAUAAAUCCCUUGCGGCUAGUUUGAAGA